rnacentral:lncRNA from 1 species
AAAAUUAAAAUCAAAACAGAAAAAAAAAAUUACUCCAAGCAAAAUAGUAAAUCUGAGUUUCAAAAUCAAUACGAUAGAGAAUGGCCAAUAAAAUUAAAAAAAAAAAAAAAAACAUAUAACAACAAAAACAAGAAUAAGAGGUAAAAAAGAUUUUGCAAGCACCGUCUCGUUAGUGCUUUUCAAGCCAGGCUUGCACCAGUUGGAAAGAGCAUCCUAGCUAUCAUAUGGUGCUUUGCAGUAAUCCUUUGGACAUGGAUGCACUUAAAGACAGUUGCAACAGACAUGAUAACUGCUAUGAUUAAAGCCAUUUCCUUCAUUUCUUGUUAUCCAAACAAUUCUAAAUUUGGGAAUUUUCAAAUCAAGCAAUUUCACAAAGCAAUAUUAUAGUCAAAUUGAAGCUAAGAUCAUAUAGAUCAUAAAUACAGGUAUAAUUUCAGCAUAUAUCAGAUAAUUUGGCAGUAAUCGGAGUUUGAACAUUCUAUCAUCUCUCUUAGUUUGGGCAAUUUCAAUUUAGGCAUCAAUCCUCAAUAUUGUUCUACUAAACUUGUAAUUUAGAAGGAAAGGAAUUAUUCUAUACCUAUCUCAAUCGCCGGAGAUGACUGAAAGCCGCUAAUUUCCACUAGAGAAUACGAAAAAAAAAGUUGUAGUUUGAUAUUUCAUUCGAUUUGUACAAAGCCGAUUGUGAAAGCGAAGGACAUAAUUGAACUCAUAGACAUAUUUGGAGCCGAUAUUCACUAGUUUCCGUCUUUGUGGCACACCGAAGAAGAUGAAAUUAAUUGGAGAUCGAGUUGUUGAAGCCGCGAGGAGAUAGCGCGAGAGACAGCGGAGAGAGGAGAGAAAAUAAUUAAUUUAAAAAGAGAGAAAAUUACAGGAGAUAAAAAAUUAUUAAAAAAAAAUAUGAUGUGGC